UGACAAUCGCUCCAUUCCUUCAGCAGGAUGUACACAGAGAUAUAACUUUCUACAGCAUCCACUGCAGCUCUGGGCUCCAUUUCCCUUUGAAAUGGGAUGGGAGAAAGGGGCAGGUAACAGACUGGAGUGAGGAGACUGAGGAGAAACUGUAGAGAAUAAUACUUAGGAGUACACGUGCUGGAUUCUCUCAUUAAGGAAAUAUUCAUGAGUCAACUAUCCAGAAUCAUAGUUAUUAUUCAAGCGGUGUGGGUUUAAAAGGAGAUUUGAUGCCAUGGCAAACCUCACUGACUUAGACUGUUCUUCAAGUUAAAGAGCAGGAUGAUGUCUGAAGUGGCUGAAACACAUAUGGCUUCAGUGUGUCAAGAAGACCUGAAAGAUCCCACAUGGAAGUGAAAUUCAUUACUGGCAAGCACGGUGGCAGGAGACCCCAGAGGGCUGAGCCGCAAAGAAUUUGCAGAGCCUUAUGGCUAACUCCAUGGCCUAGUUUGAUCUUGAAGUUACUGUCUUGGAUAAUCCUCUCAAAUCUGUUCCUGCACUUAAGAGCCACUCAUCACAUGACGGAGCUCCCUCUCAGGUUCCUUUACAUCGCCCUGUCAGAAAUGACUUUCAGGGAACAGACAUCACAUCAAAUCAUCCAACAGAUGUCCCUUUCAAAUAAGUUGGAGCAGAACCAACUAUAUGGAGAAGUCAUAAACAAAGAAACAGACAACCCAGUGAUUUCCAGCGGAUUGACAUUACUCUUUGCACAGAAACCUCAGUCUCCUGGGUGGAAGAACAUGAGUUCAACAAAGCGUGUGUGCACUAUAUUGGCUGACUCUUGCCGUGCUCAGGCUCAUGCUGCUGACAGGGGAGAGAGGGGACAUUUUGGAGUCCAAAUCUUGCAUCAUUUCAUUGAAGUGUUCAAUGUCAUGGCUGUAAGAAGUAACCCAUUUUAAUAACUGGCAUCAAAGGAUUUAGGAGAGAGAAACCCAGUAUCCAGACCCAUUUCCGUCAGUGACACUCUCCUCGUAUUGGGAGGAUUGGCCAGAAUCGUCUGAUUCCUGUUUCUGAUUUCCUUCCUCACUGGCAUCAGAGUAUUUCACUAUAGGAAAACUAAUAUCUAACUGAGCUCCAAGUGCUAAAUAACAGCAUCUCAUGUUCAUUCCGGGUCACCAAGAGGUUCAGGGUGACCAAGUCACAAACUAUAAAUUUGAACAUUUGAUGAUUUUUGCAGGAGACUGGGUGAACAAAGGAAAACCCGAGAGAUACAUAAAGGUGGAAACUAGGAUUUCUCAUUUGAAUUAUUUAACAUGCCUCACUCUAAUGGUUAUAAAUGUAAAGGAAAUGCAGGUUCUUCAAGAAGGUGAAACGAAGUUACUGAAUUUAAGUUUUUUUUUUUUUAAACCUACUUUAGAAUAGGAAACAUGCUUACUAAUAUUUACAAGGCACUACAAGGCACCAGCCAAAAAGCCUGAUUUAUUGGCAGGAUAUUCUUGUUGUUGUUGUUUCUAUUGUCCAUAUAGGCAGGCAAUUAAUACUUUUUAGAAAAUUAAGUUGCCAACUCAACACUGCCUACUUUUGAAUUUUUAUUCUAGCAACAGCCGAUAAUUUAUUGGAAAUUCCUUAUGUGCUGGGCACUACGCUAGACAUUGGGAGUACGAAAAUUAAUAUGGUAAAGAUCCUGGCUUUAAAGAGUCUUUAACAUUAUUUCAGCAGUUUUAUUACAGGUGUAUAUGUUGGAAUUGACAGAACACUUAGCUCAAAGCAAGGGUUCAAGCAUGACUUUGCAGAGUAGAUUUCAGCUGAGCUUAAAGGAUGUGAGAAUAAGUAUACACAUUUUUUAAAUUACCCAGAAUGUAGUGCCUACAGAAGUGCUUGAGCCUCAGUUGCUUCUAAGAGUCCAACUUCAGAACUUGUAUCUUCUAGAUUGAGCUCAUUGCUUAAUUUCUAGCCAACAUAGCCCAUCUCUCUCAGCUGAAUACUAAGCUCAUCAACUUCUCCUUUGAUCUAGGUCUUGAUUAGAAUGUUGAACAUGACAAGGCUGAAGGCAGAAACCAUAGAAACUUCUAUCCAGAGUUACACUCGUCUCUUAAUAGCUGCCUACUGUUGCAAUCAGAAUAAACUCACUUCUUGCCCAAUUAUGACAGUUCAUUCACCUUCUACUCAAGGGAGACUUUAAGAAUUGUUGAAGUUGAACUUCUCAGGUUCUUAUACUUAGUGACACUGUUCAUGCAAUGGCUCAGUAUUUCUUGAUUUCUCAGAACCAGCAAAAGUCACAAACUGAAUCCUCAAAUUGGAAUUCGUAAGUGACUAACUUGUAGCAUAACUUUAUUAUACUAGGAAAGAUGGGGCAAGGGACAGAAAAAAUAUCUGUAACAUCUUAUAUGUUCAAAUAUAAGCGCUUUAUGUAUAUUUAGUCAUUCAAACUCCAAAUACACAUUAAGAAGUAGUCAUCAAUAUUCCACUCUCUAAUUCUACAAUUUCUACCUUUUUAGAUUCCACAUAUAAGUGAGAUCAUAUGGUAUUUGUCGCUCUGUGCCUGACUUAUCUUACUUAACAUAAUGUCCUUAGGUUCAUCCCUGUUUGAAAAUGGCAGAAUUGCCUGUUUUUUUUUUUAAGGCUAAAUAGUAUCCUAUUUUGUAUAUUCAGCACAUUUUAAAAAAUCUGUUCAUCAGCUGACGGACACUUAGGUUGAUUCCUUAUCUUGGCUCUUGUGAAUAAUGCUGCAAUGAACACAGGAGCUCAAACAUCCCUUUGAAAUACUGAUUUAAAUAUCUUUGGGUAUAAACCCGGAAUUGGCUGUGGGGAGUUAGACAGGGAAAAUGUCCACAUUGCUCUACGGAUACAAAGUUUCAGUUAGGAGGAAUAAUUCUGGUGUUCUAUUGCACAGCACAGUGUCUAUAGUUAAUAGUAAUGUAUUAUAUAUUUCAAAAUAGCUAAACAAAGAGAAUUUUAAUGUUCUUACCGCAACGAAAUAAUUGUUUCAGAAAAUAAAUAUGCUAAUUAGCCUGAUUUGCUCAUUCCACAGUGUAUAUACAUGUAUCAAAAAGUCACAUUGUACCCCAUAAAUAUACAAAAUUAUUUGUCAAUUACAAUAAAACUUUUUUUUAAAAAAAAAAAAAAAAAA
rnacentral:lncRNA from 1 species